GUUGACCUCGGAUCAGGUAGGGAUACCCGCUGAACUUAAGCAUAUCAAUAAGCGGAGGAAAAGAAACCAACAGGGAUUGCUCUAGUAACGGCGAGUGAAGCAGCAAUAGCUCAAAUUUGAAAUCUGGCGUCUUCGGCGUCCGAGUUGUAAUUUGUAGAGGAUGCUUCUGGGCAGCCACCGACCUAAGUUCCUUGGAACAGGACGUCAUAGAGGGUGAGAAUCCCGUAUGCGG
rnacentral:rRNA from 1 species